rnacentral:rRNA from 1 species
UGAGCAAUCUGCCCUUCUCUUUGGAAUAAGCGUUGGAAACGACGUCUAAUGCCGAAUACGACCUCCUUUCGCAUGAUCGGAGGUGGAAAGCUCCGGCGGAGAAGGAUGAGCUCGCGGCCUAUCAGCUAGUUGGUGUGGGUAAUGGCCCACCAAGGCGACGACGGGUAGCCGGCCUGAGAGGGUGACCGGCCACACUGGGGCUGAGACACGGCCCAGACCUCCGUACGGGAGGCAGCG